GUGUUGUGGCAUAGAAUGACGCGGUAACUGUGCUUUUGUGAAAAGGCGAAUAUUGGUACAGAUUUUUUCCAGAUCAAUAUGGUAUUACACACACCGAAGGUGCUAGUUGGAAUACAUUUCAUACUUCUGUUAUCUCCUGUUUACGCGAGCGUUCAUUUUCAAACGUUAAGGGUUGACUGUGAGCCAUUAUGUCGGAAAAUACAACCCUUUACCGGCUAUUGUCCUGUAUAUGGGUCAUGCCAGUGGUACUGCCAUGAAAAACAGGCAGAGUGUCCAACAAACACCAGAUACCAUUGUGCUCGAAACUUUAAUGACCAGGACAGCUUUGUUGCGGCGUGUGCACAGGAAACAUUCUGUCGG